UGAUCAAUGGCCAUCAGGAUCGGUGUGGAGAAGGAUGAGCAACCCUCCUCCAUGAUCAUCGUGGUGGCGUUUGAAGA
rnacentral:pre_miRNA from 1 species